CCGCCCUCCCAGUGGCGCGUGCCCGCGGAGGUGGGUGUCCGCAGAGCCUAACUAAUCGCGACGCCUGGACGGGGUUUCUGAUCAUCCGGAUCCACACCAGAGACUUUUCUGGUGGAGGGGCCCCUCAUUUGGCUCAGAAGAGAUGGAAGUUAUGGAAACUUCAGGCUACAGGAAGAGGCAGAGGGCCAAAAUGUCCUGGACGUGAAAUACUCAGGGAGGGCCCUGGUCGCUCCCUGGCUCAGGUGACUUGCAUGCUCCAGCCAGCAAGUGGAGAUAAUAACAUGUCCCUAAUCUGAAAACACUGGGUCACCUAGUGAUACAACUUAGUCAAACAGAUGGUGUCACAGAUCUCACAGAGAGAUGGCCUAGCAACAUUUCUCUCCAAUAUUCUAUUUUGUGCAACAGUGGAUGAAUUCACAAGUUGGGGUUUAAAUUUUGUGGCCUUGUAAAUUUCGUAUUUAUGGAUGGAGUGUGUGUUCCUUGGCUCCUUCGCAUCUUCCUUUUGGAGUAAGAAUGCCUUGUCUGCUUUUAGAAGCAACAGAAUUGCUACAUUUUAGAAUCUUGAAAAUAUUAUAUUUAAUGAUGUAAUUCAGUUUUUGGACACACGUGUUCUCCUUGGCCUUUCAUUAGUUGGGGUCACUGUAAGCCAUUUUCCAAGAGCUCGGAGAAAAUAUAAUUAUAAUAUUAUUUUAAUAGCCUAGGAAACAAUAAAUAGGUUUCCACUGAAACAGAAACUUUAGCUGUGAGGUUUUAAUAAUAGUAUUUAGUGCUUCCACACUGCUUUCUGUCUUCAAAGCACAAUCUGCACUUUAAUUAACUAGAACAACUGACUGAAACUGUUACUGCAAAUAAAUGUUACUUGAAACCUAUGCUGCAUAGAAGAGAUGAAAGCAGGUAUUGUAUAAAACAUUUUCUCCUCCUAGUUAGCCCCUGUAAGAAGGUUCUCUUACUUAAGACCAUAAAAAUUCUUUAAAAUCUAAUAGAGUGAUCAUCUAGAGCAUUUUUUUCUUGUCCUCUUCACCAGUUAGUAAUUUCAGCCACAAAUUAACCCUGAACUUACAUUCAAAAGUAAAGGUGAUGUUAAACUUCAUUUCAGGGCUGGGGAUAUAGCUCAGUGGCAAAAGCGCCUGCCUGGCAAGCGCAAGGUCAUGAGUUCGAUCCCUGGUACCGCAAAAGAAAAAAAAAAAAAACCCUUCAUUUCAGAAGACCUAAGUCAACCACCAACGAAUCAAGUACAUGGCCAAGUAAAAUUUCCCUAUUUACUAUUCAUCAAUUAAUUUAAAAAUGUGUCUUUCAUUUAGAAUAUGCCCUCCCUCUAGUGCAAACUGAAUGUGGAGAUGCACUGCCCAGUGUAUUUGGACCUAAUUGCUAAAGCCAGGGGCUUUGCAUUGCUCUUGAUACAUCUACUUAAAACCGUCCCACACAACUUGAGGUGGACCGGGACAUUUUGCAGCUUUCAGAGAUUGCUUCUGACUCUUAUGGGCAGGCACCACCUACGAGAAAUAAUUUGUGGUCUUCACAGUUGCCAAAUUCCCAAGGCCCUUGGUGCCUCUCUCACCAUCUCCCUGUAAGCCCCAGAGUAGGCGGAAGGUGACUUUAAACAAAAGCACCAUUGACGCUACGUGUGGAAAAGCGAACGAGGAGACCGUGUGGAUUACUGCUGUCCUCUUACAGCCUCAGCUAAAAGACACGAUGUGCACGUUGCCUUUGGUUGAAGAUUCUACAGAGACAAACAACUUGGAUAAGAAGUAGGAGAGAAACAGACCCAAGAGCAAACCAAAAGGGAGGCCCUUUUGCAGAACACGGCGUCAGCACAAAUGAUUAACUCUAAAACUAAAGGUAAAGUCCACGACCAACACUGAGUCAGCCCCUUUCUCUUAUGGACACAUCCAUAACAACAGCCCCCUGGCCCCACUUAAUGGAUAUCUUAAUUGAGCAAAAGAAUAUUAAAGAGCUCCACACUCCACAGCAGGAAAAUUAAUCUUCCUAAACUAAAAUAUCCUCCACUUCCCCUGGGAAGAAAAUUUCAUGAGGACUAAGGUAAUGGGAAAACCUGUUGCUUAGAACUUUUAAGUUGGCCUUGAAGAUGGAAACUCAUCCAGAAUGGGGGAUAAUGCGGGGAGACUGAUUAAAAAUAGGCCUGAACCCGCUGACCUUUGUUUUCAUCUACAAGAUUCCUUAAUUCGAUGGCACUUUGAUCUUACUAAACAAAACAUCCAUCGGUGCAACUGGAGAUGUGAUGCUGAAAUUGUAAAGACAUUUUCUUAGGGUUACAGUGACCGAAGGCUAAGAAGUAAAGACUCUGGAAAACUAGCCCUUCACCUAUAGAAGACAUGAAUGCCUUGUUGGAAGUAGGAAUGGGGUAAAGCUUACUCUGGCUUCUUUGGUUUAACCCAAGGUGAGAAAUCAGCAGUCAUCUAGGCAGGCAGUGGAUUUUCUGAGAACUUGGAAACAGGGUAGAUUGGCAGAUGGUUGUAGACUAAACCUUGGGAGUUCUGGUGUGAUAUCAGCAUGCUUCUACAAAGGCAACUCAGAAAUGUCAAAGACCAGCCUGAGUGAACUGCCCUGGUUAGGAGAGGGAAGCAAGAAGGCUAAGCAAGAGCUGGCUAAGUCAAGAUGGCCCUACACAAAGCUCUGUUUGGUCCAUUUCACUGACAGCAAAGGUCCUGGAUCCUAACCCGUCACAAUGGUGCCAGCUGGCUGAACCAUACAAAGGAAGUCAAUAUAAAACUUAGGCAGGGCCAAGAGACAUCUGAUUUCAUAGUUAAAUGGAUUUUCCAUUCACUCACAACCAUUGAAGGUACCCCAAAGUCUAAAAAGCUACAUGUCCCAAAUUGAUGUUAAUUAACCCACACUACUGAGAAGUGCCCAGAACGGGGUAAUUCAAAGUCAUCCUCAGCUUGAGAAGUGAAGUUCUUAAGUAGUAUUUUUGUGUGUAUGUAUCAUUACUUCAGAUUCACCGUUUCAUGAGCUCCCAUGAGUUAACUGAAAGAACAUGAAAAUCCAAAUGUUGACUAGUGUGCCUCCCCUAAAAAACAAUAUUUUAAUUGUAAGUAUAAAAUGCCUUUAUAUUUCAUUUAUUUUGUUUUCCUCAAGUUGACAAAGUUAUGUACCUACUAGAUUUACUGGGGACCAGAGAAGCAAAAAAAAAAAAAGGGGGAAACUUUCAAAACAAGAAAGAAAAUGAAAAAAGACAGUUGCUAAAUAAUAGACCUCUAUAGCAAGCAUUUAGUUUCUCAAAUGGAUGGCAAAGAAAGAGAUUUUGAGAGAAGAAAAAGGAUGCUUAAGUUUUUGAAAUGUGUAAAGCAAAAUAGCAGAUCUGCAAAGGAAGAGGGGGAAAAGCCACUGGCAACCUGAAAACCCCAGGGAAACAAACAAAAAGAAUCACUGUAGUUUAUAGUAAUUGAAUCCUUGCUAGUAUCUGAUGAUUCUGUGAAGUGCCAGCUGUCACUCUUUUCCUUUCAGAAACAUGACAUUCAUUUGUCUAGCAAAGACCCAUUAUUAUAGUUCUGAGGUCUGCUUAAUGGGGCUACUAAUAAAUCUAAGUCAUCAAUUCUUGACCUUCUUCUCCCGCUCUAAAAUUCUCAGUGGUAAAGGGGUAAAAACACAUUUUCAAGGUUCUGUGACGGUAACAUAGAAAUAAAAGAUCAAGGCUAGGCUCCAGUGGUCUGAUCACACCUGGGCUCUAUCCUGCUUAUACCCCAAGUGAAAACAAGUAAGACAGACCAAGAACAGCAUCUGGGGGAGAUACCAAUAUUUUUCUUUGGCCUGAGCCAUUCGCAAAUAGAAAUCAAGUGCCGAGACAGAAGCACAAAGGGAGAGAUGUACCAGGGAGCCAUUACCUUCCACCUCUCUGCAGCCCCUUCCUUCCCACCUCCUUGGCUUUCUACUUUACUGAGAGAUCAAGAGGGAAAAAAAGGCCAGUCAAGGGGGAUCUAAAUUGUCUAUGCAGAUGUGAAGGAAGGAUAGAAUUGAUUAUCCAGUCUCAGUCUUGGCGACUUUGAGAUAAGGAUAGGGUGGGGGUCAGCUUUUUCAAGAAACAAAACCAUGGGUAUUUUUCUCUUUCUAUGAAAGCAACACUUAUGCUUCUUUUUUCACUAGCUGGAUUGAGCUGGCUGUGACCUAAGACAAAAUGAGGGUGGGUGGCUUCAGCUUUCUCUAAAUUCUAAGAUGGCUGCAGGCACUAGACAAAUCUUGACUCUGAUAAUGUUGCUGAGAGUUUAGCUCUAAAGAUUCUCUCCCCACUGCUUGCCUCCUAUGCCUUCCCGGAGGGACCAGCCUGCUCCUUCAUCCCCAUCGCCCCCCUGCAGCAGACUUUACAUGGCUACUGCAGAGAAGGCGGAAGACUCGUGCACAGGCUGGUUUGGAGGUCUGCUUUCUCUGAUUCCCAUAGCACUGAGAGACUGCAUUGGGGCGACGGCAGGGCAGCUGCAUGGAUGAGCUGAUCUGUUCAAAUAUUCAGGCAAAUUAGUUAUUUGAACACAAAACAUCCAGAUGCUUUUUCCCCACUGAACUUUCUCCAAAUUGAUUGGAGCUUUGGUGCCAAGAAGACAAAAAACUCAACUCAGAAAGGUCACCAGAAUAGGAAAGGUGUGGAUGAUGAAAAGCUACAGGACUAGUAUGAAGCACUACAUAUUUCUAGCAAUGAAAAUCUGAGUUUCUAAAUUGUGCUAAAUGGCUCAAAAUUUAUCAGAGCAAAGCUACAGAUGAAAGGAUGGAUCUUUUUAAAGAUUAUAUUGUCCCUGUUUAUUUGGCUUUGCUGCUACCAGAAAGUGGCUGGGAACACUCUCUUCAGGGCUCUAUAAAAUGUAAAUGGUCUAAAUUAAGAAGCCAUCUAAUCUCAACCAAUAUUAAUUCUGAUAUGAAAAAUGAGACCAAUUCUUCAGAUGCGAUUACGAUCUUUACAGCCUAACAUUAACAGAUGACCUCGCUUUGUUUCUCAAACACCUGCAUAUUUUCCUUUUCCAAAAUGCCUAUUUAUUUUUAAGAGGGAGCAAAUAUCCUAAUACUUUACUUCUUCUAACAUUGAAAGUAUACCUCCUCCUGAUGUGGGCUUCCCGUCCCUCAGGCUGGGUGCACCCCUAUAUGUGAUUUAUCUGGAUAUGUUUCCCUCCAAACUAUAGUCAUUCUAAAAUAAAAUCUCUAAGCAGCGUCAGGAUGGCAAGAGAGGAUGCUAUCCUAGGGUCUCUCUCUUUUUAGACUGAAAUGCUGACUCCUAAUAUUGCCUUGCAAAUGGGAAAAAAGAAAAAAUAAACAGGUUCUAACAUAUUUUUUUUAAGUCUUUCCCCAUAAACAGAUCCAGUAAAAGCAGACAGCUCCUCCAUCUCUACGGUAGGCGAAGUCACUGAGACAGGGCAGGGAACAGGUCCCCCCUCGGACUUGGCAUAGAUGGGGAGACCACGCUGCCCUGGGUUAGGGAGCCCCCGGUGCACCCCCGCCUCACUAUUUCAAGACCACUUCUCCUCCGGUAAGAUUCUGCAGCUGCUUCACUCUGCUUGUUAAUCUUCUUACUAAGUGUAGAAAAUAAAGUGGUUUUACUCCUAAAUGUCCAUAAUUCACCUACCACAAAGCCCCAAGUCCCUGCUGUUUCAUUAUCAGUUGCCCGCUAAUAAUAAUCAAAAUUAGAAGUGUCUCCAGCAGGGUGACAAUUGAGUGAGGAGAAGAAGGAACCCCGGAAAAACCACAGAUCGCCCGGGGCAGUUGCUGCCUAGUGUGCCUGCUUGGGGAGGGGGGUGUGAAGCUGCCAAUCAGAGUUUAAUUCAAGGCCAGGGGCUCUCCAGGCGCCCACCGCACUUCUAACAUGGACACCGAGCCCGCAGCACCGCUUGUACAAAGGCAGCGAGCGUGCGGGCUCGAGCCAUCUCUCCGGCUCUGUGCGAUUCUGCGCUGGAGGCUCGCAAAGCAGCGGCACUUCACGUUGCCUGUCAGGAAAAAGCCCCCGAGCUGAGAGCUGAAGAGGGAGGGGAGAGCAUGGGCCAAGUCAUCCCCCUUCUGUAGCUGUUUUCCUUCUGUUCCCUUUAUCCCCCUAGGGUCCUCAUAGCUAACCUGGAUGCACUUGGGUACUCCUUUCCUUAGAUUCCCGUUUCCAGAAGCGAAGGCUUUUUUCAGCUCUGAGAGAGGGGCUACGAUUUGUUUCUUCCUGGACACUAUCAGCUCAGCAUCCCUGGGCUCCCUUUCAGGGUUAGAGGAGCCCAGUGGGUGCUUAAAUCAGAGAUUUGGGCAGGAUUAUUACAAGAGCAGAGAUGGAAAGGAGAGGGGGCUUUACUUUUGCUUGAGCCGAAUGUGGCCUCUCGGCAUCUGGCUCUGCAGCUCUUUCCCCAGCCCUGAAACAUGGCUUCUGCCUGCCGAAGUAUUCGUCCCAGGCCUCUGGCUCUGUCCCUAUCUCCAGUCCCCAUGCCCCGGAAUGUCCACGGGGACUCACAUCUGACCUAGCACCUGAUGCUGAAGAAAAACAUGAUCUUCCAACAAUGGGGGUGUGUGGCCACUUGAGAGCCCUCCAGCCGGUGGAGCGGCUUGACCUCCCCACGGGGUAAAAUCACAUCUUGCCCCACAGAGGGAAAGGAAGAAGCCUGCAUCUAGCAGGGUGUGCAUCUUUGCCUGCAGGCUUUUGCUUUCACAAUUCCCUCUGGCUGAACGUAGCAAGGUGGCCUGAAGACCUGGCUGGCUGUGCACACUGCAGAGGGGCUGGGCUCCCCCUCCAAGUGCAUCCAUCACUCACAGUGACAGCUGCCUUGCACUCUGCACCCCAGCAGCCCACAUCCCUUUCAGAGGCCCCCUCCCUUCCCCCACCACAAGCCUCCUCUGUAAAAACCAAAAAAAAAACACCUUGUUCUUUCAUCAUAAUUAAAGAGCUGUCAGGGAAAUGGCAUCGCUGAUUUUUUGCUGCUGUUGAAAUGACCCUCCUCUCCAUCCCGCUUCUCAUUUGCUAAAGUGGUCCUUUCUCUACCUAAAAUCUGGCCCUUUGGUGAUGGAAAUUUUAGCUAGAAACAGAGCGUUCUAAGCAGAGUCCUAAGCUUGGGAGGGUGGGGAGAGAAAUCGAUGCUUUGAGCCGGCCUCUGUCUGCAGCAAGGUGCCGGCAAGGCUGGUCUCAUCGGCGGUGGGAACAGUGGCGGCAGCUACCUCUGGGCUUUAGGUCCACGCAGGGCCACCCAGUUGUAAAUCCUUGUCAGGGGACACAAUUUAGCAAAACUUAGAGGCUGAUUCUCCCUGUUGUCUUAGCUAAGGGACAGGAGGAAGCUAUUUACAAGGAAGUGGAGAGGUCUGAUCAGGGGAAGAUAAAAUCCAAAUGCCUUUCAUGCUCCGAGGGAAAACUGCGUGUUGAGUAUCAUCGCCAGCCUGCAUGCUUGUGUCUUUGAAAUAAAGCUAUAAUGUACAC